AAUUUUAGAAAAAAAAUAUAGGUUCCAAGUGGGACAUCGGACGAAUGCCCAAUAAUCAUAUUAUUAGACCAAACGGGCCAAAAGCAAAAUUUGAGCUAGAGUUCCCCCGAGGGAGAGACCUAGACGACGGCGGAGAAGGAAGAGGGAAAAGAUCGGGAAUCGCAAGACUACAGAGAGAAGAAAUUGAUCGGGGUGGAGGAACUUUGCAGAAGGUGAGUUUCCUUUUGUCGAUUAUUCCCAUUUUACAGUGAAUUCAGUCUGUUUUUAUUUUUUUAUUUAUUUUUUGCGUGUUGGGUUUGGCCUUUUACGCCGGCCGUGUUUUCUCCCUUAGCAUGACCGAAACCGUGCGGUUAUGGCGAUAUCCCGAAAACUCGCUGAAAUUCCCCUUUACGUUGCGUCAUUUGUCCUAUCGUGUCAAGGAUUCGGAUCGGUGCAGGCCGAAACCUUGACGUUACGCCGAGUUUUCGGUGCAACGGUCCUUAGUCGAGCCACGUGUCAUAUCAUCAUGUGCACAUGAAAAUCUCAACUUCAUAUAUCAGUUUACACAUAAAAGGGGAGUGCUAGAGUGUAUAAAUACAUAUCGAAUACCUUGUGAAAGUGCUGCUAAUUGAUUUUCAGUAAUUGAACUUGAUGUAUUGAUAUACUAGAUUGACUCAUUUAUAAUUCCAACACCAACUGCUGAAAUAUAUAAUAAUAGAUUAUGUAAUAUUUGAUUUAACAAUAUUGAAUAUUGCUGAUGUAAAAUUUGUUAGCAAUUUUUGGAUUUUUGUCCCAAUUUGUUUUCUUUCUGUAUUUCAGAAAAAAAAUUUGGUUUGGUUAAAAGGCAACUGGACUGUUAACCGAAAAAUCAAGCAGAGAAACAUAAGCCAUGGACGAAUUUGAAUUUCGACGAAUUCUUGAACUCUUUCCCAUAGUCAGAUCUCGCGAUUAUCAGGUAAAUCUCUCCAAUGUUCCUUCUCUAUAUGUAUAUAUAUGCACAUAUAUUAUAAAAUUUUAUGUUUUGCAUAUAGUAUCCAUCUCCAUCUCUCUUUUUUUCUUUCCAAAUGACUGCUUUUUGUGCUUUUAUUUGUCUUAACUGUCCUUUAUAAUUCAAUGUUCCUCAUUUCAAGGCUCUAAAUAUGAAGAAAAUUUAUGCAAUUCCUUUUUCUUUCGUCAUAUGUUUGUUGCUUUUUAGUGAGUUUCACUUUUUCUUAUUGAAAUAUUGACUAUAGGAUGGAGACGAUAUAGAAUUAAGCAGAUAAUAGUGUUGGGUUUUUUUUGAUUUAGUUCUGAUAAUAAAACCAAAUCAUACCUAUGGUUGGAUAUGGGAUGACUGUUGAAAGAAGAGGCUUUAUGGAGUUUUUAUUUGCUAUCUUAGUCUCAAAAUGGGAGUGCUAAUUUCUUAAAACUAUGCAAAAUUUAAGAAAUAUUUCAAUUUUCCAUAUUUAUUUACUAACUUAUUUUAUGAUCAAUCUGAUUGGAAGCUAGGUUUAACCACUUUCACUUAUUGACAAAUUUUGGAUAUCAUUUUAAGCUAUUAUUUGAAAGGGCGUUCUCAUUCUUGAUGGAGAAUUAUUUUAUACGAGAGAAAUGAGAAAAAGAAACAUAAAAUUAGUGAAAACAAAUACUAGAUGUGAAAAGAUCUUUUGAGGGUGUUGGGGCGUAGUUAUUUGGGCCCGAAUUAUAUGGUGGGCCAAAGUUCACGUGGAGGUGUUUAACCCUACGUAGGAAUCUGUUUGGGCAGUGGAAUAUUUUAAGGAAUCAAAGAUUCACAAUUGCAUUUAAUUUUCAACUCUUAAGGAAAGUGUCGAGAUAUAAUCCGACUUCCUUUCUUUAAGGAGAUUUUGUUCAAUCCCAUUAAGGAAUCAUACCUAAUGAGGAGUCCUAAUUCUAUACGGGAAAGAAGGUGUGAUCGCUAUAAAUACAAGGCUAUACCCUAAUCAUCAGAUACACGACUUUAUUUACAGCACUAGAGCAUUAAGUCUUCAUUGUUAAACGUUAUUCAGCUUGUACUUGUCCUCACACCCUCACACCCUCACACUGGAGCUAUCCCCCGACGGCACGCUUCGUUUCUGUGCAGGAUUGGAUGCACUCUUGGUGAUUGAGGCGCGUGAACGAAUCUUGGCGUUAACAUUUGUGCUAGAAGGAGGGCUUUCUGGUGAUACGUAAUUUUCAAUCACAAGGAGUCUUGGUUGGAAUCAUGGUGAAUAGCAGGAAGACGGUUUCAACACGUGACCAGUCAACGACGGACCCCCCUCCUCAUCAACCAAGGGGUUCAGCCAAAGACAGGUUGGGACCCUCAGUUUCUGAACGGUUGGGUCCCAUGCCAAUUGUGUGGCCCGAUCGAAGGACAGGGCAGGUAGUCCCAGACGAUGGUUGUUUGCUACAGCCAGUAAGGAAGCAAGAUCCAAAGACCGUGUCACGGACGCUCCGUCCCGAACACGCCCCAGGAUGACGGCUGAGAUGAGAGGAGGAUGAUCUUGGCCAAAAAAGCACAUGAGACGGAUGAUGCUAUGAAGGCUCUGCUCCUUCAGUGAAGGGAGAUCGACCAACAGAUGGUACUUUUGAUAGGUGGAGAAGACGGUGCUUCCAGCCAUAACCGAAGGCGGGAGAGGUCGCCGGGGAAUCAGUCCAGGACACAUCGUCCGGAUGAUUCUCAGCGGACCGAGAGCUGACUCCGAAGUAGUUCUUGGGAAAGGAGCAGGUAUGAGAGCAAAAAACGGAUAAAAUCGAAUUACCGAACACAACCGAAUUUGUUUAAUCGAAUUAUUUCGAUUUUUCGAUUUUUUUUCUAAUUUCGGUUAUAUUCGAUUUAUUGUUCGGUAUUCGGUUUUAAAAAAUAGCUUAUUCGGGUAUCCGAAUUAUUGAAAUUAUUAAUUAAAUUUUUGUUUAUAAUUAUAUAUGUAAAUGACUAUUCCAUUUCGUCUCAUCCAUAUUUCUAAUUACCAAACCAAAUUUCAGAAAGAAACAAACAUCACUUUCCUGUCAAGGGGUCAGAAAGAAACAAACAUCCCAGAUCCAUUCCAUUUCCUCUGGCCUCUUGUCUCGACUCUUGACUCUCGGCUUCAAUUUUUUCGUCUAUUCCUCUCCGCCUCUCUCAGUCUUAAUAUUGCUUCAUCCUCAAUGAGCUAUCUCCAUAUUCGCCUCUUACAACCACGCAACGAUAACAUCUUCAUCCCCUCAACGGCUCAACCUCUCUCUCUCAUCUCACAUCUAAGGUACUGCAUCUCAAACCCUAAUUCUUCUUUUUAUUAAAUAAUUUUAAUUCCAGUUGUACGUGUAUAUGUAUUGAUUUCUGUUCGAUGAGCUCAAAUCUAUUGAUUUGAUUUCAGUUUUAGAGGUUUAUUGACGCAAUCGGUUACAGAUCUAAUGGGUUUUAUUCCUUUUUAUUUAUAAUAUUUGCUUUUUAUUGGAUAUGUAUUCUUUUUUUGAUUGAUAAAUGAUAACAUGGAACACAUGUUUAUUAACCAAAAUACUCGAAUUUACAAUUCGAUAAUUCGGUAAUUCGAUUAUUGCUAAAUUCGGUUAAUAGUUCGGAUAGUGAAAUUAUGAAUAUUUCGGUAUUCGGUUAUAACCUAAUAGCCUAUUUGGUUUGGUUAUAACUUGAUGAUCAGGAGCAGGUGCCAAAGUCAUUCGCGGGAGCAUUCGCCAGGGAACCUCUGUCCAGGACGCAUCGUGUGGCGACCCCAAAUCCGGGUACUUGCAACCCGAACUCGGUUCUCCACGAUACCAUUUCUUUAAGCUGAAUAAUACUAAAUAAUAAUACAUUCGAACUUAAUUUACAUACAUCAAAGUUUACUUCCCCAGGUACGUGACCUUCAAAUACAUUCCUUACAAUACCUGACAAUAGAUUCCAUUGUCUUACUAACUAUAACCAUUAAC
rnacentral:lncRNA from 1 species